rnacentral:rRNA from 1 species
UACAGGGGGGCAAGCGUUGUUCGGAAUUACUGGGCGUAAAGGCGUCGUAGGUGGCCACUAAGUCAGACGUGAAAUCCCUCAGCUUAACUGGGGAACUGCGUCUGAUACUGGAUGGCUUGAGUUUGGGAGAGGGAUGCGGAAUUCCAGGUGUAGCGGUGAAAUGCGUAGAUAUCUGGAGGAACACCGGUGGCGAAGGCGGCAUCCUGGACCAACACUGACACUGAGGAGCGAAAGCCAGGGGAGCAAACGGG